AUUGAACGCUGGCGGCAUGCCUUACACAUGCAAGUCGAACGGCAGCACGGGAGCAAUCCUGGUGGCGAGUGGCGAACGGGUGAGUAAUGUAUCGGAACGUGCCCAGUCGUGGGGGAUAACGUAGCGAAAGCUACGCUAAUACCGCAUACGAUCUAUGGAUGAAAGCGGGGGACCGUAAGGCCUCGCGCGAUUGGAGCGGCCGAUAUCAGAUUAGGUAGUUGGGGGGGUAAAGGCCUACCAAGCAGACGAUCUGUAGCUGGUUUGGGAGGACGACCAGCCACACUGGGGCUGAGACACGGCCCAGACUCCUACGGGAGGCAGCAGUGGGGAAUUUUGGACAAUGGGCGCAAGCCUGAUCCAGCAAUGCCGCGUGCAGGAUGAAGGCCUUCGGGUUGUAAACUGCUUUUGUACGGAGCGAAAAGGCUCUCUCUAAUACAGGGGGCUCAUGACGGUACCGUAAGAAUAAGCACCGGCUAACUACGUGCCAGCAGCCGCGGUAACAC
rnacentral:rRNA from 1 species